AAGAAUUUGUAGGUCGAACAGACCUCCCCAACAUGGGGCUGCUCAUGUGGGGAAUCUUAAUCCAACAUCGAGGUCGCAAACCUGUCAUUUGAUAAGGACUCUUAAGACAGAUUACG
rnacentral:rRNA from 1 species